rnacentral:tRNA from 14 species
GGAGAGAUGGCCGAGUGGUUUAUGGCGUCGGUCUUGAAAACCGAUAUAGUUUUUAAGAUUAUCGAGGGUUCAAAUCCCUCUCUCUCCU